rnacentral:rRNA from 1 species
UACAGAGGUGGCAAGCGUUGUUCGGAAUUACUGGGCGUAAAGGGCGCGUAGGCGGCCUUCUAAGUCAGACGUGAAAUCCCCCGGCUUAACCUGGGAACUGCGUCUGAUACUGGGAGGCUAGAGUAUGGGAGAGGGAUGUAGAAUUCCAGGUGUAGCGGUGAAGUGCGUAGAUAUCUGGAGGAAUACCGGUGGCGAAGGCGGCAUCCUGGACCAUUACUGACGCUGAGGCGCGAAAGCUAGGGGAGCAAACGGG